AGUCAACGGCUGUGAGGGCGGAUGAAGGCUGCAACAGAGGACAACUCUCAUUGCGGAGCACAGUUUUGACACCAAGAUCUGUGAUAAAAGCUUCAAGAGACCCUCUCCUUGUAUACUCAUUUUCUCACCCAUUCAGAUACCUGCUCUUAUCCAUGACAGUUCUGUGUGGAAAAGUUCCACCAGAAAUGUGACAGGAAGAAGCACCCAUCCAGCCAUACAGGUGAGAAGCCACAGGCGUGUGGCAGAGCUUUCAGCCAGAGUUCCAGCCUCAUCACUCCCAGUCGGAAACAUGCCAGAUUCCAGAGAAAGGUGGAUUUGAAGAGGCAUAAGCAGAUACACCAUGACCUGAAGUGAAAGCCACAUGGAAUGGGGGAAAUCAACAGAAACUCUAUGCAAACACAUGGCCCCAUCUUCCUAAUGGAUUGCCCUUUCCUCAACUGUCUGAAUGUUUUUAUCUUUUUAUCCUUUUUUUUACCCCGCUCCCCCCACCAGCUUGAAAUCCCAAACACUCUGUAUGGGUAAACUAUCUGGUGCAUGUAAAUGAGAAAAUCCUCUCUCCCUGUGUUCCCCAAUUAGCUUUCUAUUACUGAAAAGGGUUUUCUUAGGAAGCCUGAACUCCAUGUGUUUACAAUGUUAACAUACUGCUCAGUGAGACAAAGAAGAGACUGAUUGUAUUGUCAUUUGGAUGAUUUAGGAUCUCAUCCCACUGAACAGAUCAAAUGUUUGGAAGAAUGGAUAAUACUGGAGGAAAAUUAAUUAUUUUCCAUGUAGGAACUUUUAGGAACUUUCCCCUGCAGUUUAAUGUAGCAGGAAGAGAUAUAGGUCUCAGGGUUGUUGUAUGUCUUUCGGGCUGUGUGGCCAUGUUCCAGAAGCAUUCUCUCCUGACGUUUCACCCACAUCUAUGGCAGGCAUCCUCAGA